CCACAGUUUCCAUCUUUUAUCUUAGAUAGUUCAAAUUUAAUUUAAUUUUGUAGAAAUCUUCUAGUUUCUGUUUGAAAUUACUAUUACAAUGCUUGUUAAAGGGUAUUCCAAUAUAUUUCAUUAAUUCAGAUAAUUUAUUAGACCACAAAUUUUCUCUGUACUAAGUUGAUAUUUUAAUAGGAUUGAUUGAUUGUUGGUUGCUUAAUGUCCAGUGGCAAAUAUUUCAGGCAUAUCUAUCAGGACGAAUAUUUACACAGUGUCUGUAAAUUGUGUCAUUUUAGGAUAAUUUAGUUUGUAUCAAGCGGAUACAUUGUUAUGACACAGUGUCUGUAAAUUAUGUCUUUUUAGAAUAACUUAGUUUGUAUCAAGGAGAUAUUCUGGUAGGACACAGUGUCUGUAAAUUGUGUCUUUUUAGGAUAAUCUAGUUUGUAUCAAUUAGAUCCAUUGAUGGACAAAGUGUCUGUAAAUUGUGUCUUUUAAGGAUAAUAUAGUUGUAUCAAGUAGAUACAUUGAUAUGACACAGUGUCUGUAAAUUGUGUCUUUUAAGGAUAAUAUAGUUUGUAUCAAGUAGAUAGAUAUGUUGAUAGGACAGUGUCUGUAAAUUGUGUCUUUUAAGGAUAAUAUAGUUUGUAUCAAGUAGAUAUGUUGAUAGGACACAGUGUCUGUAAAUUGUGUCUUUUAAGGAUAAUUUAGUUUGUAUCAAGUAGAUACAUUGAUAUGACACAGUGUCUGUAAAUUGUGUCUUUUAAGGAUAAUUUAGUUUGUAUCAAGUAGAUACAUUGAUAGGACAGUGUCUGUAAAUUGUGUCUUUUAAGAAUAAUUUAGUUUGUAUCAAGUAGAUAUGUUGAUAGGACAGUGUCUGUAAAUUGUGUUUUU
rnacentral:lncRNA from 1 species